rnacentral:rRNA from 1 species
UGCAUAUCAAUAAGCGGAGGAAAAGAAACUAACAAGGAUUCCCCUAGUAACGGCGAGUGAAGCGGGAAGAGCUCAAAUUUGUAAUCUGGCACUUUCAGUGUCCGAGUUGUAAUCUCGAGAAGUAUUUUCCGCGCCGGACCGCAUACAAGUCUGUUGGAAUACAGCGUCAUAGUGGUGAGAACCCCGUAACUGAUGCGGAUGCCCGGUGCUUUGUGAUAUACUUUCGAAGAGUCGAGUUGUUUGGGAAUGCAGCUCAAAUUGGGUGGUAAAUUCCAUCUAAAGCUAAAUAUUGGAGCAAGACCGAUAGCGAACAAGUACCGUGAGGGAAAGAUGAAAAGCACUUUGGAAAGAGAGUUAACAGUACGUGAAAUUGUUGGAAGGGAAACGCUUGAAGUCAGACUUGCUAUUCGGAGUUCAGCCGCAAGGUGUAUUCUUCGAUUCGCAGGCCAGCAUCAGUUUUCGGGGGUGGAAAAUCGCGGUUUGAAGGUAGCAACUUCGGUUGUGUUAUAGCUUUCCGCUGGAUUCAUCCUUGGGGACUGAGGAACGCAGUACGCUUUUUGCAAGGCUCUCGAGCUUUUCGUACUUAGGAUGCUGGUGGAAUGGCUUUAAACGACCCGUCUUGAA